rnacentral:rRNA from 1 species
ACCGUGCAAAGGUAGCAUAAUCAUUUGCCUAUUAAUUGUUGGCUAGUAUGAAAGGACAAACGAGAAUAAGCCUGUCUCCUUCAAGAAACUAAAAAUUUAUCUUUAAGUGAAGAAGCUUAAAUUCUAUCGCAGGACAAGAAGACCCUAUAGAGCUUUACCUAUUACAUAUACCUAAAAUAAAAAAUAGGUUCGGUUGGGGCGACCAAGGGACAUAUAUCACCCUUAACUAAAAAGAUUUACAAAUCAUUAAAAUGAUCCUUACAAAAAGAUCAACGAAUCAAGCUACCUUAGGGAUAACAGGCUAAUUCUCCUUUAGAGCCCUUAUCAACAGGAGAGG